rnacentral:rRNA from 1 species
UGCGUAGGCGGUUGGACAAGUCUGAUGUGAAAUCCCGCAGCUUAACUGCGGAACGGCAUUGGAAACUGUCCGACUAGAGGAAUGGAGGGGAGACUGGAAUACUUGGUGUAGCAGUGAAAUGCGUAGAUAUCAAGUGGAACACCAGUGGCGAAGGCGAGUCUCUGGACAUUUCCUGACGCUGAGGCAAAGCCAGGGGAGCAAACG